GAGGAAGUAGGCUUUAGACUACCAAUAUGUGAUUUUCAGACGAAGGGAGUAGGUUUUAGACUACCAAUAUGAGAAUUUCAGUUCAAACCUGCUAACAGUGCUACUCACGUCGUGUAGUCACAUCAAUUAUUGCAGUUUUACAUAGCAUAUGUGUUGAGGAGAUAGAUGGAUAAAGGGAGUGAAUUUCAGACGAAGGGAGUAGGUUUUAGACUACCAAUAUGUGAAUUUCAGUUCAAACCUACUGACAGUGCUACUCACGUCGUGUAGUUACAUUAAUUAUAGUAGUUUUACAUAGCAUAUGUAUUGAGGAGAUAGAUGGAUAAAGGGACGGGGAGAUACAGGGAGAGAUAUGUCUCCUUACUAGAUGAACAUCAUAUAUAAGAUUUCAUAUAUUGAUUUCAAUAGCUUGACUCAGAGUACAAAUUUGAGAUUUAUUGAAUAACAAAAUAUAAUGGUGCAAACCUUAGGAGCUCUUUGGAAUGAAGGAAUCUCAAAAUGUAGAAAUAGUAAAAACAUAGGAAUAGAAUUGCAUGAUAUUUGCAAUUCUAUAGUAUUUGAAAAUGUAGGAAAGUUUGGUUUUUCUACUACUUUUAGCAUUUCCCCAUUUCUUUUAUUUAUUUAAGGGUCU
rnacentral:lncRNA from 1 species